UUUUUUUUUCUUCUGAUUUUUAUACUUGAGUGAUGAAAAGGUGUUCGGGGUCAAGUCUAACACUUGAGUAAGCAUUCACAUGUUGUACGUUUACAUCUCAGAGUGGUUCUCGGUUAAAGGUAGCAAAGUGGACCUGGGGAUUGCAGAUUUAACAGCUGUGCCAUGGAGCAAUGCGUGGCUGCUUACUUGAAUUAGUCGCUAAAUAAACCAUGACUACAUGAGUAGAGGUCACCUUCCAUUUCUUCCUUUCUACAAAUUUCAUCCAAUACUCACCAAACUUGGUACAAAUUAUAAUUAAACAGUUGUUAGAAAAAAGUAACUCCUUUCACGUGCCUUGAUGUUUUGGCUUUAAUUGGUUCCCAAAUUCUAGUAGGUAUUCGAGUAACGUUUUGUGCAUACGCAGUAUCAGCUCUGACUGAUCCUGCAAACUUUGGUUACAUUUCAUCUGUAGGUGAUGCUACAGCAUCAUUCUGCUUUUCCUGUGUGGGCAGUGAUUAUGAGUCUGACUCAGUUGAAAUUUUGCACAAUUCUUCUUCGUUCAAAGCCCUAAUAUUCCCGAGCAAGAUUUAGGUUUUUCCAAAACCAUAGACGCUGUCUGGCAUGAUUGUCUUACUUACUUACACUAUAUGUAUUCUGAUGGAGAAACGAUUCAAAUGCAAACUACAAAUAUCUAAACAUUGUAUUUUUUAGAAUAUACAUUAAGAGCCUAGUAUAGCUAUGUGAGUUCUUUUAACAUUUCAACAAGUGUUACUGAAAACUGCAUCUAGAUCAUUUUGUCCCAGAAACAGCUAUUAAAGAACGCAUUGGUCAUUUCCUCAUGUUAACCUUUGUUGAUAUACAUAACUAUUGAGCUCAUGCUGAGAGAUUACUCAUGCAGUAUUUGUCCUUGUGUGGGCUUUACCUGAGGCAGGUCUUGUAUCCAAGUGACAUUUGAAAAGACAAAUACAUCUCAUUUUAUCAAACGUUUUUGCUCUUUUGGAUGUCUGGUUGCUGUUGGCUGUGUAAUUCUCCUUUCUUUAACUCUAUUUCCCUGCCCCCUCUUAAGGUUUGACGACGAAAAAAAUAGGAAAAGCCGUAAAAGGAUCGACCAGGAAAUGCACGGCAAACUGGAGGUCGCAGCUGCUGCUGUUCCAGAGUGAUGCUGCUCGCACUGCCAGAUGUGGAGGAGGAGAAUGUUUCCAACAGCCACUCUUAUUUUUAUGUUCUGGACAACGUGACUGAAGACUUAGCUCAAGAAAGUGCCUUUUUGAAACUAUGCUGCCUGUUAUAACGUGGAACCUUUUUAUAGCUUGAUCUUCAGCGUUUUUCCACAUGCUGUCUGAAAUGUUUUUUUUUUUUUUUUUUUUUUUAUGUACUGCCAAUAUAUCAUGUCAAACUUAGCUUGUUGGUGUUUUCUAGUUAAUGGUGUUUCCUAGUUAUUGGUGUAUCUACACAUUAUUUAAAGCACUCUGUUACAAAUGGUUGAUGCAUGUUCUGCUUUAUUACAUUGAAAUAUAUAUUUAUAUUCAAAAGGUGA